ACAACUUUCAGCAACGGAUCUCUUGGCUCUCGCAUCGAUGAAGAACGCAGCGAAAUGCGAUAAGUAAUGUGAAUUGCGGAAUUCAGUGAAUCAUCGAAUCUUUGAACGCACCUUGCGCUCCUUGGUAUUCCGAGGAGCAUGCCUGUUUGAGUGUCAUU
rnacentral:rRNA from 1 species